AGGGCUGCAGCUUAGUGGUAAAGCAUCAGCUUUGCAUGCAGGAAGUUCCUGGUUCGAUCCCUGACAACCCCG